rnacentral:tRNA from 1 species
GCGGGUGUAGCUCAGUGGUAGAGCGCAACCUUGCCAAGGUUGAGGUCGAGGGUUCGAAUCCCUUCACCCGCUCCA